rnacentral:lncRNA from 1 species
UAUUCGUUAUAACAAGGAAUCAUUUGAGCGCUUGUAGACUUGUAUACGCUGUGAGCUCGUAGGUAGAGGGGAUAAUUAAAAAUUCGCGAGCGCCAGUAGUGACAAGUUUGUAAACCUUUACUGGAAAUUUGCUUUUUGACGUUCUGCAUUAAGAGUUGCAUAUUAUAGCUUUUAAAUGUCUCACGAAAGUUGUUGUAUUAAAGAGUGUCGAAAUACUGGUUACAAUAGUUACUGUGUAUUCUACAACUUUCCUGUCGCUAAGCAUAAGGUGAUUCAACGUCAAAAAUGGAUUGAUGCAAUUAGAAAAAAAAAAAGAUGGACAGAUCUAGAAAGAGAGGAUCUGGAGAUAAUGGCAGUGAGACAAUGGGAAAUAGUGGCACAAGAUCGACAAACAUGGAAGGCAAUAGUGAAUGCGGCGAGGUCUCGCUAAGAGUUGUAACGUCAUCGAUGAUGCUUUUGUCCAUUAUGUUUCCAAUACCUCUUUUUUUGUAUAUGGCUGCUGUCUCUUUAAUUUUCCUGUAUAUGUUAAAGCUGCCAUGUCGUUUUUCUAAUCUUCCUAUCUCUACACAUUUUUCGAGAAAAGCUAUUUAUGAUAGUCACCAUAAACCAACGCAACGCCUGAUCGUUGUUGCGAAAGCAUUCCAUAUAUUUGAUAAAUAUUUUCCUCUCGCUUCGGCAUCCUCUCGGAGAAAACAAUAAAAAGACCUAUUUUUACGCCCACUUUCGAGUAAGAAUAACAAACGUUUAGGUAACGCCUAACGCUCAAUUUAGGUCGGCAAACGUCUCUUACUAAUUACCCAUCUCUUUUUAUUUAGUGAUAGGUGACAAAGUGGCGCGAUUUGCUAAUUUUUGGCCACAUGUGUGCCAGAAAAACGUUAAAAAUUAAAAUUGAAGUAUGUAAAUAAGCCAACAUGAAAAAUCGGAGACCGAGAUGAGACCUACAUUUUCAACUAUAAUUUUAGCUUUUCUCUUAGGGUCAAUAACCAAAGGCGUUUUCCAUAUGGGCACAUUUAAAUAAUUAUGUCGACUCGCAGCUUUCGAAAAGUUUUACGGUCUUGUUACGAGGGUAAAUUGAAAAGAUCAGAAAAAUACAAUACAUAGAAGUCAGUUUUCAACUUAAUAAAAUAUAAAAUAUUAUGGUAGGGGAGCAGAGUAUGCUAAAUUUGCAGUCACUCAAGCUCUAUGGGGACCUAUUGGGUUGUGAUUAUUAGGACCAAAAAAAGUUAAGGAAAAUUUUCCACUUUAGUGGGGACUUUCCAUUUCCAACAAUAAUUUUUUCCGAUUAUAGCGCCAUCUACCCAUAAUUCGAAAAAAUGUCUCGAAUAAAAGUUGCUUAUUUUUACGUAAAGAAUCCAAAUCUGCAAUAAAAAUUUGGGGGUCCCAUUUAAGAUUUUAAAGUAACCCCCUACCCCAUCCCUGUGGGAGGUCGUGUUUGGUACCAUUCGAUAGAUUUUUCAAAAACAUUUUGAAAGUGUAUCUUGCAUUUUUUCGAUCUGAUGUUCAUUUUGCGAAAUACCGCGGGGUUUGUAUUUAAAAUUUGAAAUUUACCCCCAUCCCUCUCCGUAGGGGGUCAUGUUUAGUACCAUUCGAUAGAUUUUGGAAAAAUAUUGAAGACGUAUUUUUUUUUAGUUUUUCGAUUUGACGUUCAUUUCGCGAAAUAAUCGCUUUUUUUGUGAAACUUUUUGACUCAUCCAUUUCCUUACGCCCCGCUCAAAUCGUCAGAUUUUUUAAAUAUACACUCUUUUGCAUGUACUUAACUUACCUUAUCUUAAUCUGACAAUUUUGAGUAUUUUUAAGGCUAGAUUUUUUUUUCGGGCCCCUCUUAACUAACUUUUUUGUGUUAAGAGCCAAUAUAUGGCAGAUGUACAUCUGCAGGGUACCAGGUUUCUCCCCAUAUGAUAAUCUGACGCGCUCGAGUAACUGCAAAAAUCCCCGCUUGGGCUCCCCUACCAUUAACACAUUGACGAGCCACAUUAAAUUUUUUUGUUUUUGCCUUCGGGCUCCACGUUCUGAAUCUCAAUGUUAAUGUGAAUUAUAUUUAACUCACUGAGCGACUGGGCCAAACAAGGCGUGAGUUAAAUACAACUCACGUGGCGUUCAAUGUGUUAAAUUAAAAACUUUAUUGGAACCAUUUUCUGCUUACACCUGUGUGGCUUCUAAAAAUGCAAGCCAAUUGAAUGCUGGAGCCAGGAAGAUGAGGGAACUCUAUAAUUUGCAAUUCACGUCCCAUCUGUCGAGCGCGGAAAAAUGCCAACGAAAAUGGAACCCUACAUACUCAGAUAGGAGUAAUAUAGGUCUGGAUCCCGCGUAUGAAAAAAAAGUUGAUUAAUAGCAAGCUGAAAAUUUUUUAAUAGCGUAAGGGUGUCUAGUCGGACAAACUUUGAUAUAUGGGAACACUGGAACAGGGGAAGUUUUAAUUGUGGAACAGGUUAAAAAUUUGGAACGGUAAGACCACGAAAAUGGCAUAUGUAUUUUGUCCGA